UACGUAGGGUGCAAGCGUUAAUCGGAAUUACUGGGCGUAAAGCGUGCGCAGGCGGUGAUGUAAGACAGAUGUGAAAUCCCCGGGCUCAACCUGGGAACUGCAUUUGUGACUGCAUCGCUGGAGUGCGGCAGAGGGGGAUGGAAUUCCGCGUGUAGCAGUGGAAUGCGUAGAUAUGCGGAGGAACACCGAUGGCGAAGGCAAUCCCCUGGGCCUGCACUGACGCUCAUGCACGAAAGCGUGGGGAGCAAACGGG
rnacentral:rRNA from 1 species